GCUUGCAAAUGCACCAGCAUCGCGGUAAUACCACCAGCUUGGCGGAUAUGUGGACACGGUGGAGGAGAAGACGCCGAUUUGCAGUUAUUUUUGCAGCUUAAAUAAGACCUCACUGAACAACGUCAGACAGUUUACUAUUGGAAGAUGGCACCCUUUCAUCCAAAUGGUUCAAAACUUGAAGCGUGCGACUUUGGAUUGUGACUACCUUGCAUUCCAUAAAGUUACUGCAAGUCUCCCUGCACAGAGAUUUUUUUUUUUUAGAUGACCGGUAACUUCCAGUAAACACCAUGAAGUACAUAGCGAACUCUGCUUUGCGCGAAUAUGUGAAGGAGGAGUUGAGAGUUUCCAUAUUUCAAAUGGCACACAAGUUAGCCGUACAGACAGGCUGUGAAAUUCUGGUCAAACUGGAGGACUGUGUGGACCACGCAGGCUGCCAAUACUAUGCCACAAGGACCCUGAACCUGCAAUACAUGGACAAGGGUUUGUCCAAACAGCCGUGGGAGGUCAUGGUCUCGGGAAUUACAGGGUUGCCCGUGUCCAAUUAUGGCAGCCAGAGUGAGGAUCGGAAUGGAAGCUUGACGGAGACUGAAGACUAUGAGCUGAGCAACGACAUGGGCAAUUCGGCCGAGAUGUCAUUCUCCAAUAACCUGUCCUCAGGAUCCCUGGCCAAUGUGUCUGCAGUGAGCCAGGGUAGCCAGCAGAGUGGCCAGACGAUAGUGCAUGUGAUCAAAACAGAGCCCGGUAACUCGCAGUUGACCUCAGCUGCCGACGGGGACUCUUGGACCAAGACCACCGUCACGCUGCCUUUUCCAGUGUCACUCGAGUCGGCCUUGAGCAGUCAAGGUGGAGAAGGAACUGUGGAUGCAAGCAAUCCAAAUCAGUCCAUGGAUGCAGACCAUAUCCAGCAGCAGAUCUACAUAUAUGCAAACACCAAUACUGAGGUGAAGGAAGAAGAGAUGGAUGAAGAAGCUCCACAGGAUGAUGCAGCUGACGACACUGCAGAUCCACAUCGCCACCGCACACCGCCCUCGCUCAACUACCAGUGUAGCUUGUGCAAGAAGCGGGUGAGCAGUGUUGCACUGCUGGUCCGUCAUGCCAAGUUGUACCACACCAGCGACGAGAACAUGCGUUACCACUGUGUCCCCUGCGACAGGGAGUACAAGCACGCCCGGCACCUUGAGCAGCACACCGAGUUGCACAGCAAGGCCAGCUACCGAUGCUCCACGUGCUGCAAGGGCUUCUACCGCAGCUCCACACUGCGAGAGCAUGAGCUGCGGGACCACCAGGGACGCUAUCGUUACUAUUGCCCCAAGUGUCACAAAGGCUUCAUGCGUCCCAGCACCAUGCAGACUCACUUAAACCGCACCCAUCCUGGCUGGUUUAGCAAGUCCAAAGCCUCUCCUAGAGCAGCCGCCAAAAUGUCCAAGCCCCCAGCCAGUGUUCCCCGGAUAGUGAUACCAGUCGACAAAGACGGGGAGGAGCUGAACUCCUUGUGUCAACAGGCAACCAACGAUGAGGUACCAUCAACAAGUGCUGAUCAGGGUCAAAUGACCCAGGCUACUGACCCAGAUAGUGGUGGGGUAGCCCAGUCCGAUUCCGAAAACCAACGGACCACGGUAAACGAAGAGCUUCGGAACGCAACCCAGAGGAAGAUGAUGAAAGUGGUGUAUCAGUGCAAAGAGUGCGGCCGCAUGUACGACAACGCCAACUCCCUUGUGCGCCACAUCCACGACCGGCACGACAGCCGCACCAAAUUGCGGUGCAACCAGUGCAGCUACCGGACCAGUCGCACCUCAGACUUGUCACGCCACAAGAGGGCAAAGCACCCUGCUGGGGGCACCUCUGCUGCUCAACCCAACAAGGGUUCAGAGUAGGAUCUGUCCACAGCUCUGUGUUGAUGAUACCAACUGACGGAGUAGUUGGCAAUUGUACAUGGCACACAUUGAUCACAGAAUAAACGUUUCUUCCUUAAUCUCCAGAGAAGACUACUGAAUGAAAUUCCUUCAUUCAAUCCAAAUUCUUUGCAGUGGAAUGUGCCUUUACAUGGAGUGGACAAACAGCAAAACUGCAUGUCAUCUGUUUAUAUUGUAACAUACAUACAACUUUUUUUUACUGUAAAAUAGCAUGAUAAGUCCUACCAGUCUUACCUGUGAAUUUCAAAAGAAAACUAUCUAGAUGUUAGAUUCAAUAACCCCAAAAGUUAAUAACUUGCACUUCAUCUACGAUAUUCAUAAUAACUUUUCACAAAUCUCUUUAUAAAAUUUCGAGGAAAAAUGCCCCAGAUUGAUGAAUAUCGUUUAAAAGCUUUUGCCUCCUGACAGAAAAGUUUAGACUUCUGCCUUUUCACUGGGAGUUUCCACAUUUGCAAAGUUAGGAGUCAAAACAUCAGUUGGGAUGAAGGUUUUAUGACUAUGACCGCGUUAGCGCCAAACUUAUGAUGUUCCAGAUACAUAUUUGGGCAUCUUUUUGCCUGUAUUUUCUAUCCAAGACAAGUUAAAGGUGAUGAAAUGGAGAGUGAUGCAGAUUUCAACUUUGAAAAUAUGAAUGACAUAGUGUACCGGUAUGAAUGACAUAGUCUUCCUAUGAUGGCCAAGCAUCUCUGCUGUGUAUAUUUGUGUGGUCCUUGGAGCCGCUUUCUGUCCUUUCAGUCCACUUACUAUUAAGUGGGCAUUCAUGAACCAAUGGAUAAGGCUGUGGAAGAACAUAAAUUGUACAUCGUUUUUUUUAGCAAGUGAACAAGAGAAAUGGGUGCUUGCAAAGCCAGGAAUUACUAAUGUGUGUAUAUUACAUCUGUUGUGCGUGUACAGUACAUCAGUUGGUGAAUGACCACACAAUGGGUUCGCAGCCUGGGAUGAUCUCCUGUACAGUUGUCAUUUCUAAGGCACAUAAUGGCAGUGCGUCGCUAAUGGAACACUUUGCUGUCUACAUGUGAUGCCUGCUGGAUAUUUGAUUUGACAGCGGUUCUACUGUCGUCACCAGACAAACUGGCUGAAUUCAUGGACAAGGAACUUAACCUUCGGAAGCUUCACUUCAAGAAACCUGUCAAUAACUCCUGCUGUUCUGCUUUGUGACAUUUCACCAGUAAUAUGAAGAGCCUAUCAACAUCCCCAUGAUGAUCUUAAGUCGCGGACAAAUUGUUUCCCACAUUUGUUAUGGGACAGCCUUCUUUGUUUUUUCUUUCUGCAGGUUUUUAUGCGACAAAUAGGUUCCAUAGCUGCAACAAGUAUACUCAACAAGGCAAUAAUAAGAGAGCGCCUGUUGCAACAGUGAAAGUGAAAUCCUGAGUGUGCAAAAAAGGUCAAGAACUGAAUUCGUCCGUAAACCUUGAACAGUAUUUUGGAGCAACCAAAGUGUAUGGUCUGCAUAUGUCUACAGCAUGCAAAUGUCUGUAGUAUGCAAAUGUCCAUAGCAAAUACUAAACAUGCACACUGUACGUUAAAGACAAGGAUGGUUAAUGCCUUGGCAGUUGGCAUUGGCAUCUUUGUAGGUACAUUUUGCUAGACUUUGUAUCGAUGACAAAUAAAUUUGAAAUGAUAUUUAUCUAUAAAACCAGUAAUUGAGAGAUGUACAAUGAAUGUAUGUAGACCAACUUUAACCCUAACUCCCUGAUUUACUCGGAACCAUACCCAUCCUGGAAAAUUCCUGCACCAUGUGGGAAACUGCACACACAUAUUUCUGACUUUGAUACUGGAGGUGUGCCAACCCAGUGUAAAAGACUGUCAGUUUUAGGGGUAACUGUAUCCAUCCUGACAGAUUCUAACAAAACAUGCCGUUGGGGUUUGAUGGAUUGAGUUCUGUUAGGGUUAAUAAUGGUUGUUACCCGAAUCAAAUUUGGAUCAGAUUCAAUUUGUAAUUAUUUUGUGUCUUUGGAUACUCUGUCAGUAAGAACAUGCUAAUGCACUUGCUACAUUUCUUUUGUUGUUUGGGUCUAGUUCCAGCAGUAUUUGCAGAAUAAUAUUGCCUAAGGUUUAGCAACAGUCAGGAAUUUAACUUUUGUGAAUAUUGUUUGAUACCAUGGCUAUGUGUAAUCUUUUAGAUGAUACUUAUAGUUUUUUUUUCUUGGUUGAACAACAUAAAAGUGACUAAAGCCAGUUUGUGUUCUGAAUUCGACUUGCGACAGUCUUUUUGGUUUGGACUAAAACUCGAUUUUAUGCAUGUAAUCAUAUAUAUAUUAGCUAUUUUUAGAUAAUUAUUUAGAUGUUUUUUUUGUAGUAAGGAUUCUUUUUUUUGCAAAAGUGUAUAAUAGUCGUAAAAACUUCAUUUCUGCAAAUUUAUAGGGUAUGCACAAUCAUUUUUAAAAGAGAUAUUUUAAGCACAACACAGUUGCAUGUUGUUAAGCUUCCACAACUGACAUGCUGAGUGAAUCAUGAGUAGUUGAAAUUAUUUUUUUUGGGGGGGGGGAUGCUAAAAAGUUAAAAUGUAUCUGUGAAACUAAUCUUUUGUUUUUGCUUUGCUGUGACUGUAAAUUUAAAAUCAUUAGAGUGAGCACCCAAGUGGAGAAAUAUUAGCAAUUGAGGUUAGUGUGAGUGAGCAUACCAGAAAUAUUCAUGACUAGAAUUUACCGAUUGUAUGGUUUGAAAAUUGAAAUGAAAAUGGAUAAAUUAUUAGUUUUAAUCAAAUAAUCUCCUUUCAGUUGUAGUGGGCUUUAAUGGGAUUAGGCAUUUUUGAGGAAUAUUGAUAAAAUUCAUUUAACUUAUUGAAGAAACAAAACAAAAUUUUUUUUACCCCGAUUGUCAUACAAAUGUUAAAGCACUGGGCGUUUUUAUUUGAAAAGGUAAUGCAUAUACUUGGUUAUAUUUAACAAUUAUUGUAAAUAAUGCUGUUUGAAACAAAUUGAGCCUUGCUCAUGUUUCUGGAAGUUUGUUUUAAAGAGAGGAGAUCAUGUUCAUCAAUUUUUUUGGAAAUAUUUUUUUCAAUUUGCAAUUGUUUCCAUUUAGUUCCGGAGGCGAGAACUUGUUCUAUAAAUGAUCGUGUGUGGGUCCGGAUGAUUCAAGUCCCUCUUUGUAAUCGAAGGAUUUAAAUGCAGUUGCUUAUACACCCUGGCAUCUACUCCAUUCAGAUGCAACUGGAAAUCAAUCUUUUUGCUGCAAAAAUAGAACGAACAAGAUUUCCUCAAAAAUGAAAUAUCGGUCAGGUGCCAGGAUUUCAGUGUGUACUCAAUUGAUGCACCGACUAUCCCAAAUCCAAACGUUCUUUUUACAUGUAUAACUAAAAAAAGGUGUUUCUUACCAAUUUUGGUUUUUAUAUGGCAAAGAAAUCGUAAUUUGUAGAAUGAACCUUUCAGUAGUUUAUAAUUCUAUUGUUUUUUUUCCAGCUUUGCAUCGUAAUGUCGCAAAAACACCAUUUGGACUGCAGAACGUUUUCAGUGUCAAUCAUGAAAAUGAUUUGUUAUACUUGUAAUUGUAAUAUACAUUUAACAAUUGCUUACUCUAUCAAAACAGUGUAUAAUAUGUAUCUAAAAAAAUAACCUGGACGGAAUCGAGUUGAUAAAUUUCUCUUGUAGAUUGUAGGAUUAAAUUUUUAAAAAUGAGGAGAAAAA
rnacentral:misc_RNA from 1 species